UGCCAGCAGCCGCGGUAAUACGUAGGGCGCGAGCGUUGUCCGGAAUUAUUGGGCGUAAAGGGCUCGUAGGCGGUUUGUCGCGUCUAGCGUUUAAGGCUCGGGCUUAACCCGGGUUUGCGUUGGGUACGGGCAGGCUUGAGUGCGGUAGGGGUAACUGGAAUUCCUGGUGUAGCGGUGGAAUGCGCAGAUAUCAGGAGGAACACCGGUGGCGAAGGCGGGUUACUGGGCCGUUACUGACGCUGAGGAGCGAGAGCGUGGGGAGCGAACAGGAUUAGAUA
rnacentral:rRNA from 1 species